rnacentral:rRNA from 1 species
UACAGAGGUGGCAAGCGUUGUUCGGAUUUAUUGGGCGUAAAGGGUCCGUAGGCGGUCCGGAAAGUCAGAUGUGAAAUCCCACAGCUCAACUGUGGAACUGCAUUUGAAACUUCCGGACUUGAGUGUGAGAGGGGUGAAGGGAAUUCCCGGUGUAAGGGUGAAAUCUGCAGAGAUCGGGAGGAACACCAGUCGCGAAGGCGCUUCACUGGCUCACUACUGACGCUCAGGGACGAAAGCUAGGGUAGCAAACGGG